rnacentral:rRNA from 1 species
AACGAACGCUGGCGGCAUGCCUAACACAUGCAAGUCGAACGAGACCUCCGGGUCUUGGGGCGCACGGGGGCGUAACGCGUGGGAAGCUGCCCUUAGGUUCGGAAUAACUCCCCGAAAGGGGUGCUAAUACCGGAUAAGGUCUUCGGACCAAAGAUUUAUCGCCUUUGGAUGGGCCCGCGUUGGAUUAGGUAGUUGGUAGGGUAAGAGCUUACCAAGGCGACGAUCCAUAGCUGGUCUGAGAGAAUGAUUAGCCACGCUGGGACGGAGACACGGCCCAGACUCCUACGGAAGGCAGCAGUGGGGAAUAUUGGACAAUGGAGGAAGGCCUGAUCCAGCAAUGCCGCGUAAGUGAUGAAGGCCUUAGGGUUGUAAAGCUCUUUUACCCGGGAUGAUAAUGACGGUACCGGGAGAAUAAGCCCCGGCUAACUCCGUG